UGGCCGGCCCGCCGCAUCCUCACGGUGGCGCUCCCCGCUGGCUACCGGUGGGUGGGUUUCUGGGAGGUUCACACAGAGCAUCCACACGGCACUGACACGGCCGGCUGGCGCUACGGAGAGCAGUUCCUGCGACCUCUCGACGGGGCCAACGCUGACCCUGCCAAUGCUGCGUCGCCUCAGCAGGUUUUGGCUCCGUUCAAAAAGACACACACGCCCUUAUGCGUCGUCCGCCGUCGCCUAUGGCGCCGCCGUGUGGCACUGGCGGGGGUGGACGAGCCUGCCUCGUCUACGGACGACCUCUUCCCUGGCCACUCGGAGCAGCAACUGCAUUCCUACCUGAGCGAGAAAGAGGAAGAGAUGGAGAUGGCCGAGCACCUCAAGGAGGCGGAGUUCAUGGCAGCCCAGGCUGGCGAGCCGUGGUCGCAGGAGCAGCAGAUGCGGGCGGAGGAGGAGCUGCGCAAAUUCUGCCGCGAGCGGCAAAACCGCGAGAGUGCGUCCCGCAUGCGCACCAUAAACCCGAGCUUCGCGAACCCGUUUCGCCAGCCAGAGGGCUCUUUUCAUGUUUCUCCAGACGACGACAACGGCCCCACAGACGUCAACGCGCAUCCGGAGGAGCAGUUCAGCGGCGCCGUGGCGGCGGCGUCGUGGGUGCGGGACAGUCGGUCGAAUCGCGCGGCGCCUGCCGUCUCGUCCCCGGUGGCGACGCCUGAUGACACGACUGCCGAGCACAGCGCCGAAUCCUCGCAUGGCGGCUGCACCGUUGAGGCUUACAGCACCACGGCGCCGAGUCGCGUGGAUGGAAGCGAUCUAGUGGGGCAGAACACGGUUCAAGAGUUCGUCGCGUCCACUCCGACAGAUGCGGAGCGGUCGCGCACUGACGGUGCCGAUGCUGCCGCCGAAAACGCGGUGGAUCAGUUUGUGGCAUCCUCGCCGACCGACCCCGCUGCCUUGAGCAACGACGACCAAUCUACUGGUGUGUCGAUCGGUGGCAUCCGCGAUCCUACCGAUGCGGACUUCCGCGCGAUUUUUUCGCAGUUUAUGACUCCUUCUGGUGGUCAAAAGCCGUCGUGAUCGAGGCCUCAACGCUCAUCAGAAAAGGAAUUAGAGGGAGGGGAGACACAGACGUUCGCCGGCAGGGCAUCAAAACACACAAAGACACACGAGUGGCGCUUGGCCGUGUGCGGCCUUUGAUAACGAGAUGUGUCUGUGUCGUUGUGGUGCACACAGCUCUCAUCCUUUGCUCGUUGCUCUGCCUUCUCGCUGCUAUGCACCACCUCUCUUUGCAGCUGCUCUUGCUGCUCAUGUGCGUCUGUUCUGUUUUGUUGCUCCGUAUCAGUCGCCGUUUCCUUGCGAGACGUCCUGCCAACCUUUUUUUUUUGCCCACCCACUCCUCUUCCUUCCUUUCAUUCUUCUUUUGCUGCAUUCAG
rnacentral:misc_RNA from 1 species